AAUUAGAAUCACCUUUGUUAGACAUUGGUGACCUUUGAAAACUUCUUUUGGAUUUUUUAUUUGGUGUCAAAAAGACUCAUUGUAAAAAUCUUAUAAGAAAAGGGAUGAAGAAGGGGGUUUUGGUAACAAAAGGAUUAAUUAGGGCACCAAUAUGGAUGAAUGGAGAUGAAAAAUAAAAAUCUCCAUUCCUAUUGGUCAAAAAUCAUGACCAAUGGGCUUUGAGGAGGCUGCCCGAGGCCAUAUUAGGGAUUAGGGUUAGUUUCUCGCACCCAUUCGCGUUUUUGAGGCUAGGGUCAAAAGGUUUAGGUUUUUAGAUAUGGUUUUGGUGCAAAAUUUGUGUCAUUUGGGGUUUAUAUGAAGAAGUUAUAGGCGCUCAAAGUUAAGGUAUAAGUUUUCGACGUACUGUCACUCUUUUGAGCAUACCGCACGCGUACGGACAGAAAACGCAGAUCGGCGACCGGAUUUGAAGAGCGCACUUUUUCGGCUACAGUUUGUGCGUACUGUUUAUCGAAUUCCUAGCUUUUAUGAAGGAGAUAUUGGCAGUUGAAGUCAGCGCUUGAUAUCUAAGGGUAGUAAGUAGCCCGAAUUACUUGUGCUUGUGAUUUGAGCUAUAUCUUAGACAAUUUGAUGAGGUUUUAGCUCAAAAUUUUCAAGAUUGAGUGUAAUCUUAUUAUAAAGCUUUCUAUACAAGUUUUGUGUGAUUUGGAGCUUGGGUUUAAGAGAUAUAAGGAAAAUAGUUUUCGGGUGCUUGUAAGUUAGGGUUUUGUGCACCUGCUAGGGUUUCUUAGAUGCCGAACGAUCGGUGAUAGAUGUACGGUUCAAUUUUUUUGUGGUAAAAUUUAAGUAUAGCAUCUAGCUUAUGUAGAAAUUUGAAACAAAGUGAACGGUUGGAUUAGCUUUUCUGAAUUUUCAAAGUCUGAUGUAAAAAGGUCCUUGGCGGGAAGAAAUAUAUUUUGAAGAAUUUUAAGAUAUUUUGAAUUUUUAUACAAAGCAAAGAGUUUUUUUUUGGGAGCUAAGGCAUUAUAUAAAAAAGAAACCUAAACUCUCUAUAGCUAGAUACCCGGUGUAUUCCCAGAUAGAAAAUCACACCAUACGACACCGUCCUCAUAAAUUGAUUAUUCUACAGACUAUAAGUCUAUUUUACCAAUAUCUUACAAAAACAAAUUAAUAUCUAUUCUAUAUUGAUCAUAAUCCAAAUAUAAAUCAUCCAUUGAAUAAAUUGCCCUUCCUACAAACGCUUUUGCAAACUCAUCUACUAAUGGUCUUAUGCCCCCAUUUCUAAUAUUUAUUGCAUUUAUUACCUGCAUAUCUUGAAUAAAGCAUAAUAAUCCAUUUUUCUUAGGUACUAUGAAUUAACGACUAGAAUAUGGAGUAAAGAAAGGCUCUCAAAUCUUCAUUUGUAUUUUUUCCUUCAAUAGUUCUACCAAUUCACGUAAAUGUGUCUUUGGCAUAGGAAUUGGCUUUAAGUUCAAAGGCACAUGUGAUAUUGUGAAGAUAACUAUAGGAGCAACAAUAUUAGGAUCUACACAUCUUCUUUCAUGAGGUCUAAGAAUAAAUGAUUUAUCUCAUCUUUUAAGUAAUUUUUUAAAAUAUUCAAUCUCUAUUGAUAAUAAAAAACUAUCACAUCUAAUCUUCAUUUCAUCAAAAGUCUUCUUUAUAAAUUGAUGUCCAAUAUUCUUUGAAUCUUUUAAACUUUUUUUCUUUGAUACUUCUUCCAUUUGUUUUAUAGAAUCUUCUAAUAAAGGUUUGAUAAUGGAUUUUAUAUUCUUAUCUACUAUUUUAUAUUUUGUAUCAAGAAUAAAUUCUAAUACUUGAAAAGAUUCAAGUAUAGUAUAAAUCUGUCUUGAAUGUAUUCCUAUAAUUUUAUCAUCAUCUUCUAAUCCAAUAGAUGUAAUUAACUCCAAAGGAUCUUUCAAUCUAUUUUCUUUAUAAACUCUUCAAAUCCUCUUAUCAUUUUUUAAAGUUUCUAAUUUAUAUAAUUUUCUUUGAAUAUUAUAUAUAUAUAUAUAUAUAUAUAUAUAUAUUAUUUUAUUUUAAAUCUUUAAUUUUUUUAUAUAUAAUACUUCUAUUUUCAAAAAUGCCAAUAAAACUUAUAUCAAAAGCACCAACAUCUUAUGAGAGUACGUCUUCUUUUGUACCUCCAUUAUCUCACUUUAUAGUGGUACUUCUCCAAAAUCCUUAAAUUCUUCAAUAAUUCUUGGUAAUUGCUUCUCCCUCAAUUUAUCUCAAUUUUGUUCAAGAUUAGGAGGCACGGUUAGAAAUUAUACAGCUUUUCUUCCAUCUUCACUCUGUAUUUGUGCAUAAGCUAAACUAUCAUCAAGAAAUUUUGUUUUCAUCCGUAUUGCUAUAGUAUAAGAUUGUCUUAAAACCAAUGGAUAUGAUAUUGUAUCUUGAACACAAAAAUGUUGUUCUGUUGCAGCAUCUCCAAUCCAGAUUUUAACAUCUGGGCAAGCUCAAUAUAAUUCACCUUAUGUAUUAUUAGCUGCUUAUAUUGCCUAUCCAUAUUCCAUAUCAAUUAGCCAAUUCUACUUUUUAUAAAGAUUCCUAGACAUAAGAUUUAUUUUGGAACCAUGGUCAAUUUAAACAACAAUUGGUUCUUCUAUAUCACCUACUUUCAUCAAUACUUUUGUAGUUGCCUUUUUUCAAUGCUUUUAAGUAUAAUAACUUGAAGCUUCUAUUUCCUUAUCACUAUACUCUUCAAAACACACUCAUUAAUUAAAACCAUUCUUUUCAUUUAUUGAUUGCUUGUAACCUUGAUCACUUUCAUUCUCAUCUUUACAUAAUCUUGCAUCAAUAGCAUGACUCAUCCUAACUUUGUCCAUUAAUUGUCACUUUUUUUUAAUACUAUCAAUGAUAACAUGAUGAAACUCUUUCUUUGCAAUUUCAAAAAUCUCUUUCAAUGUGAAUUCCAUCUUAGAAUUUAAUACAUGUUCUUUCAACACUUCCUUUAAAUCUAUUGCUACUUCAAUAUUAAAGAGUAGCUUAUAAGCUAUUGAUUUAUCUUUAUUUUUUUUCUCUUUUAUUUUUUCUUCCAAUGUUGUUGAUGUAUCCUUUAUAGGCAAUUCUUGUGAAGCUAUCUCACGAGCCUUGUGUCCUCAAGUUUGCCUCUUAAAAGAAUUUUCUUCUCUUGUAUCAUCAAAAUUUCUUCGUCUCUUUUCUUCCAUCAAAGCUUCAUACUGACUCUUAGCAAUAUAUGCAUGAAUUGAAAGAGCUAUUAUAAGAUCUUUUCAACUUGUUGCACUUCAUAUUGUAGUUGCCGUUCUCAACAAUGCUUCUUGAGGCAUUUUUUCUUUUUGCAUCAUAGAAAUGGAAAAAGUCCAAAACUCACUUGUUUCUAUACUUCUAUCAAGGUCAUCAUCUAUCUUGAUACUAUAACUUGUACUGUCUCGUAUUCUUACUCCAUAUUUUAUUAAAUAGUCUUGAAUCAAUACUCUCAUACAUUCUUUGCCAAAAUUGGUUUGAAAGAAAUCUUUAGUAUUCUUUAAUACUAUCUUUCCAUCUUUCCAAUAAAUAAUCCCUUGUUACACCAUAUCAUUAAAUUCAUUGCAAUCCUUCCUAAUAUGGGAAGUAUGAUCACACCAAAUGCACAUUUGUACAUACCUUUGCUUAGAAACAUUCUUCAAAUUAUUCAUAGAAGUCUUUUCUUCAAGUCUUGCUAAUUUGAUUUGAAGAUCUCACAUUCCAUGUAUAAUUUCUUCAAUUCCCAUAUCUUCUUUUUUUCAGAAAGAUGUUGGAGGUUGAAUAGUAGGCAUUCUUAGUCGUGUUGUAUGUACUUGAAUUUUAGGUACUUAUAUUACUCUUAGAAUAUUAACCAUAUCCUUUCUCCUUUCUUAUUUUGAAAGCAAUCCUACUGCAUCUAUAAUAUUUUUCCACUUUGUUGUCAAUCCUUCAUCUUCUUCUUUGUCUUCAAGAAGCAACUCCAAUUUUUCUUGUAAUUUUUUAACAGCAGCUUUAAGAAAUAAUUCAACAUUGUUUGGCUCCAAUGUCAAUUUUUCCAUCUUCGACAAUUGAAAAUAUUGCCUCUUAAAUUUUUUUAAUAGCUUUAUUGUUUUAAAUUCUUGCUAGGCUAUUCAAUCCAUUCUAGAAAUAAUUUCUUAGUAAUACAAUCGGUGUCUUUCAAGAAAUAUUCGUCUUUUAAUAUAUAUGAAAAAGUCUCCAAUAAAUUUCCAUAAUGCUUCAUAAUUGAAGAAACAUUUUUUCUUAUUUCUAGUAUUGUAGCAAACCCAAAUAGUUUAAUCAUCCUCUUCUCAAAAACUUGAUUUAAUUCUAUUUCUUGUACAUAACAUUUUAAAUACUUGGAGAUUUUUCUCCCAUCAAAUUGGUCAAUCUUGUUAAUAAUCGCUUAUAAUACUUUGGUUGUCAAAACCUCUUUGCAAUCAUUGCUAUAUUGCUAUUGCAUAAAUAAUGUAAAUGCUUGAAACAAUUUUGCAGUGUUUGGAUUAAAGUACAUAAUUUGUUUACUAAUAGAAAAUUCACUUGAAGAUCUACUUGCAGCUCCACCCAAAGCUCUAUCAAAGACACCAAAUUCAACCUUCUUGCCUUCUUAUGCCAUUAAUUUCAAAUAACUUCAAAUACAAUCCAAUACCUUCCACCUCAAACUUUCACAUCGGAUUUAUUACUUAUGUCAUAUUACGUGUUGUCUUACUUGAAAAUGCACCAGAUACAUACUCUGAAAGGUGAGGUUGUAUUUCACAAACAUUCAAGAAAUCCUAAUAGAUUUCAUCCAUAUGUAAAGAAUAUAAUCUAAAUUCCAAUUCUUCAAUUACAAAUAAACUUCAAUUAUCUUGUUACUUUCAUAUUUAAGCAAUUUAGAUUUUUCUUGUAAGCUCCAACCCUAAUUAGUGAGCUUCAACAAGUUGUAAUUUCUAAUAUAAUCAUCUACUUGAUGUGAAACUUUGCAUACAAUUUUCAAUGUAAGUCUUCUAAAUGUUCAAGAACUUUUAGGCCAAUCUAACUUAUAGAGUGUGAAAAAACCUCCAAAAACUACAUUGAUGUCACUCGGCUAUCAACUUGAAAGGUGAAAUAAAAGUUCCAGCAAUGAUUUUUUCUUCUCCAAUUGUUAACUUCAAUUCAAAAUUGAUAUGUACCUUGAUCCUUAAGACCUUCAACACCAUGCCAAAUUUCACCUUGAUUUGACUAGUAGAUCUUCAAAUAUCAUCGAAACCCUAUUCAACAUCAAACUGCCAACUUUCAAUAUGUUCUUGUACCAAAAUCUAGAUAUCUCUCAAUUUCGCUAUUGAAUUACCACAAAAUUUUACAUACACUUAGAAAACCUAAUUAACUAAGCACUACCAAAAUUUAAACUAUAGAUGUGAUACCAAUUUUACAAACUAGCUGAGAGUGCUAACCCUAAUUUUAUUACAUAAAUCCAAAGUUACCAAUACAAACCUUGACUUUCAACAAUAAUUGCCAAGUUAUUCCAAAUCCUAUCAAAAUCAACCUUAUGUAUUUGGAACAAGCUCCAACCUAGCUCUCAAAUUCUAAUUCCUGAUCUUCAAAUAAAUUCUUAUUUUACCCUAGGCAAUCAUUUUAAAGGCCAAAGGUCUAAUUUCGACCGUGUCUUAUAAACAAUCGACCCCCAAGUAUCAAUCUAAUCUAUUCUAAGGAUGUUUUAGCUAAAUCUUACCUUUAAUUUAAUCCUUGUAUCAACUAUAUUAAUUAUUUAUUUCUUUUAAUCUGAUUUUAUAAAUUUAUGGUCUUUCUAAGGUAGUAAAAGAGUCUCUAUAACUAGAAGGUAAAAUUACUAAUCAACCUUCAACCUACUAACUAUUAAAAUAAGAAAAUAACCUAAGAGGCUUUUAUAAAAGCCAUGUUUAGAUACCUUGAAUUAUUAUUGAACUAAAAUAAUUUGAUAUUAAUUAGAAAUUCAAUUUUGAUUAUAAUUUCACUAUAUAGCCAUAUUACAUCAUGACAACGUACACAUGGAACAAGAUAAGGUGAAAGUAAUAGAAGAUUGGCCAACUCUCAAAGAUGCUUCUGAAGUCUAUUCAUUUUUAAGCCUUGCUAGAUAUUAUCACUAUUUUAUUCAACAACUAGCGCACAUUGUUGCCUCAUUGACAAAUCUGUUGAAAAAGAGUGCUCUAUUUGAAUGGAAUCUGGAGCAGCAAAGUACCUUUGAUAGGUUGAAGGAGGCACUCAUUAUUAUUCUAAUAUUGCAAUGGUAUGAUUCCAACCUUCUUUGUAUACUUGACAUUGAUACUUUUGACUUUGCUAUUCGAGCAGUCCUUCAAUAAGACUUUGAUAGGAUCUUUCAAUAUGUGGCAUAUAAAUCUUACAAGCUCAUAAGGAUAGAGUGCAAUUACUCUAUACGUGAUUGAGAGCAAUUAGCAAUUGUACAUGCGAUAAAGGUAUAGCAACACUAUUUGUUGGAAAAGCCAAUUGUUAUUUGAACUAAUCGAUAUCCUUGCUACACAAUUUAAUUCUGAAAAAUACGAAAUCACAACAUUAUUAUUAAGAAGAAUAGUUGUAGCUUUUUGAUAUCCAACUUGAGUAUAAGCAAGGGCAACAACAUACUGUACCUAACAGCUUAUCAUGGAGACCAGACUUGAAGGUUGAAUUGAAAAAUAAGAUGGAAGUUGUUACCAUUACUAGUGUCAUUUCAAACCAAAUCAAAGAAGUAGAAUGAAAGGAAGCUAUGCAUCACGAUUUUAUUUCAAGAUGGUUAGCCAUUGGUUGAAGGUGGGCAAUACACAAUAUAAAGAUUAUAGUCUUAGUGAUGGUUUGUUCUAUUUCAAGAAGAAAAUUUAUAUAUGUGUGAAUAUUAUAUUCUAGAUGUAUAUACUUCAAGAAAUAUAUGAUAUUCCAAUAUCUAAACAUCUAGGACAAGAAAAAGACUCUAGAAUAGAUUUUAAGAAUAGAUCUCAAGAACAUGAUUUUGGAUAGGUUUGGAUUGUAAUGUUUGAGCUUUUGAACAUUCUUACAAGUCAUCUCAAUAUAAUAAAGCAUAUAACACAACACCUCUUCAACUAUUACAACUAAUUCUACUACCUACAAUACAUUGAGAGUUGAUGACUGUAGAUCUCAUUACAUAUUUGCCACACACACCUCAUAAUCACAUCGCCGUUGCCAUCUUUAUGGAUUGGCUCUUAAAGCAACUUUACUUAGACACGAUACGUUUGAUUAUCAAUGCCUCAAUAUUUGUAUGGAUCUUCUUUGAUAUUAUCUUCUAUUAUUAUGGAUUAUCUCAUGUCAUUAUUUUACAUCGAGAUCCAUGCUUCACGAGAAGUUUUUGACAAAUCUUGUUCAAGCUACUAAGAAUAUGAUGUCGGGGUAGAAAGAAUUUGCCUUAAGAAAAUAUUGGACUUUUGGCUAUCAUUAAUUAUUCAAUCAAGCUUCAAAAUAGGAGAAGACCUAAGUUUAUAUAUAAUUUUUUUCUUUUUGAGCAAUUACACCAAAUAUAUAUGCCUCAGAUAACUAACAAUAUCCAAAAUAUGAUAAAAUCCUCUAAAAUCUUGUAUAUCCUUAUGUGGAAAUUUUUUCAAAAUUUAACACCUCAUAUCUCCUAAUCCGACUAUCCAAACAAACUCAAACUUUACAUGAGGUAUUGAUGUAUUCUUAUCAACUUCUACAAUAUACUUCAAUUGCAAAUUCAUUGCAAAACUUGAGAUAUCUUGAAAAUCCUAAAAAAUACUUUAAACCCUUGUCUUUAUAUAUCUGCAUUGUAAUUUUUUUCAUAUCUCAGAAGAUAUAAGUUUAAAUGGUACAAAAUUUAUACAUAUAACUUUUUAAUACAAAAUUUUACAUUCUUUAAAAAAAUUAAACUAAAAAUUCGUCCAAAAACUUAAGUUAUGGCUCCAACCAUUACUAUAAAUAAAAUCGAUCACUUAUUGCCUUUGAUUUGGAAGUACUACCUUUAACUCUCUAUAACUCCUUCACAUAAACUCCAAAAAUAACAAUUCUUCAUGAAAGAUGUAUGCCUUCAAAUUACCAUUCUACUUAUAUUUUUUGAUCUUCAAUACCUAUCAUAUAACUCUCCAUAUACUCAAAAGAAUAAUAGUAUGUUAUAAAUUAAUACCUUAACUUCAAAUGGCUAUAUCUUCUUUAUUUUAACUCCAAAUCUUCUAAUUUUUGUAUAAAAAUUGUAGUCCAAAUCUUAAACUUUACAAUCUUAUCUUUUAAUUUCCAAACACCCUCUUUGAAGUUGCUGAAAUCCUUGUUAAGGUCGUGUGUAGCCUCCUCAAAGUCCAUUGGGCAUGGUAUUCAACCAAUAGGGAUGAAGUUUUCCAUUCCUUACCUUCAUUCAACCAUGCCUUAUUUUCAUGCCUUUCAAUUAGCCUCCUAUAAGUUUAGAUUUUCAUCCUUAGACUUCCACCUUCUCCCAUGGCUUCACACUAAAUAUUUAGGUCUUAUAUUUUCUUAAAUACCAAAAUCAAAAUAAAUAAAUAAAUAAGUAAAGUUUCUUAUAUCAACUCAUUUUAAUUGAAUCUACUAACCACUCUAACACACAUCUAGAUUUAUUAAUAUAUAAUAUGUUUUAACUAAUUUAUAUAUGUUAUAAGUAUUUAUAAUAUGACAAUAAUUUUGUACUAUAAUUGCUUAUAAUAUAUAAAAAUUAGUUAAAACAUAUAAUAUAUUUAUAAGUAUUGGUGUGAAUUAAAAUGCUUAAUAGAUUAAUUUAAAGAGAUUGAAUAUAAGAAACUUAUUUUUGAAUUUUAUCUAUUUUUAUUAUAGCAUUUAAAAAAUUAUAAGACCUAAAUGUUUAGUAUGAAGCCUUAAGAGGAGAUUAGAGCCUAAAGAUGAAAAUCUAAACUAAUAGGAGGCUUAUUGGGAGGGAUAAAAGUAAGACAUGGUUGGAUGAAGGCAAGGAAUAGAGAUCUUCAUCACUAUUGAUCAUAGGCCAUGCCCAAUGGGCUUCAAGGAGGCUGCACGAGGCCUUAUUAAGAAUUAGGAUUUCUUUUUUGAAGUUAUUUGAGCUUUGGAGGCUAAGGUCAGCAAUUUUAGGUAUUUGGAUAUGGAUUGAAUGAAAAUUUUGUGUGUUUUGGAGUUUUUAUGAAGGAGUUAUUGGUGCUUAAAGUUAAGAUAUCAAUUUCAUACCUACUAUCACACUAUGGGCCAUAACAUAUGUUUAAAAAGAGCAAUGAAGGAUUCGCGACUAUGAUUGGAGAGAAAAAUUUCUUAGAUACACUUUUCAUAUACUUUUUGAAGAAUUUAGAGUCCAAAUGAAGAAAUUAUAGAGAGUUGAAGUCAUCACAUUGUGGUUGAUCGUUUUACUUAUUCCGAAAGGAACCUCCCACAAUAAACCUGUAUAGGGGAAUUUGAACACGGGGAGUGACUAGUUGCUUAAGCGUUCACUUUAGGGUCACACAAUUAAUUACCUCCAAUGUAUCGUCUCUAUUUCCAUUGUCUAAGCACACAAGGAAACUAUAAUCUCUCCUUUCACCUAAUCAAUCUCUUCCUUACAACAAUUCAGUCAUACCAAUAACUGUUAUUUCCACUAAUAUAUCUUCACUCUUAUAAUCUCCAACUGUAAUACCGCAACAUCACAGCUUCAGCACACAAUUACUCUCAUUCCAAUUACUAGAAUUCUUCACACAGAACUACCAUUCAUAUUACAGUGUUUCACACAACCACAGAUUCACUCUUUCUGCUGAACUACAUUCAAAUUUCAGCAUUCAAUCUCUCUUCUUCUCAUUCAAUAACAUAUAAUUCCAAUCACACUUUCAUUCCAUGAUUCACUUCACAAUAUUCAAAAACUCUCAAUACUCUUAUUUCAAAGAACAUAACAACAAAAGAAAAGAGGUAGCACCAAGCUUACCCCGGCUCACACUAUCACAGUAAUGGCCGUUUCUUCCUCUCUCUCAUCCUCCUUAUCCUACCACGAGAUACCAACUACUACAUCUCUAAUGAAAACUGCUUUUCCUAACUAUUCAUCCAUUUUAACUACUGAACUACCUUUCCAACAAUCAUCUAUCCCUGUUUACACUAUAAACUAAGUAUCUACAAAUCAGCAAAUAAUUACUUAUUGUACAUAGCCCCACUCCUAACUGUGCAGCGUCCUCGCAAACAACUAGUUCGAAACAAGAACUGAUGACUCCUUAGCAUUGCCCAUACUCAUAGCUACUGAUUACAAUUCUAAAGUCACUUCUUCGUCUUCCCCGUCUGAUACAUUUAUAGGUACUAUGUUCAAUUUGGCCAUUAAAUCUUCAUUAAAUACUCCCAAUUCACGAACUUGACUUUCCAAUUGAAGAAUUCAGGUGUCUUUCGCCUCUAAUUGGUAUUGUUGUUACUUCACCUUCUAUUCCAAUUUGCCAAUUGAACCUUCAAUUGACCCUUGUGGCCAUCAAAUGCUAAUCAAUUCUUCCUCCAAUUUCUUUGCAACCUCCUUCAGAGUGUUGAUCUCUUCAUGCAUUUUCUUUGUUUUCACUCUGAAUUGGUCACUCAUCGUCUUCUUUUCCUAUUCCAAAGUCGCCAUCUUUGUCUGGUUCAAUUCCAAUUAUUGCUUCCUUUUCUCAACUUCCAGUUUCGAUUGAUUGAGAGAAUUGGAGAGUUCUUAUUUCUAAUGCAUCAUUCCUUGGUGAAGGCGCUCUCUUUCCUUUUUCCACGCUUGCUGUUUUACUCCAAGGGCAUGCUCCAGUCUCAAAUUGGCUUCUUUGGUGGCCCUAUUCACCUGAUCUUGUUCCAACAGUUUUUGACGUUGUUCUGCCAUCUCCCUCUUACACGCCACCAAUUACUGCUUAAAAGUCGUGUGAUCAACCAAUUCGUUUGCCUUCUACUGCAAUUGGGAUAAUUGCACCAAAAAUUGUUCUUUCACACUAUUCUCCUCUGGUGUUCGAUGUUGAAUGUCUAUUGUCUCUCUGACCAUUGGACCCCCUCCCGAACACUGAUUGGUUCUCCCGCCUGCUGGCUUGUUUCUUCUGGUCCCCAUAGAAGUGCCACUAAAUUGCUCCUCAGUUUUGGUGGUACUGGAGCUGCUAUCGUCUUCCCUUUCUUCGGCAAUGGUUGACUCAACUCAUAAACUAUUGCAGACUGUAUAUAAUUGGAACACAGAAGCGUUGCAAUUCUACCUGACCUGCGCUUGUAACUCAACUUUGCAUGAAUUUUGGUGGCCACGUACGCUGCUCAAUUGAACACCAUACCCUCGAAGGAGCCUAUUGUCGCAUAUAAUAAUUGUUUAGCCAUAUACGUCGUAUGUCUAUUUAAUCCCAACCUCUUCUGAACGAAGUGCAUGCACUCCAUCAAUUCUGGUGUAAGUGCAUCCGCCGUGCGCCAUCCUUGAUUCCUUUCUAGCGAUGUCAUACCUCCUUUUAAAUAACUCCCCGGAUUAAAGUCUGAAGACUCUUCUGCGCCAACCGCUAACUCUCCUAUUGGUAACUGUAAUACUUUAUGCAAGGUAUUCUCAUCAAUUCCCAAAGUCCUCCCUUUUACAACACUCGAACCAUCCUCAAGAUCAUAGUUCGUCAAGUAUUCUUCCAAUAGUUCUAUAUCGAUUGAUGGUAAAUUGUCUGCCGCUCGCAGAAAAGGAUAUAGCUGCGCACUUCUAAAGUCCUUUUGCCGCGUUGCAUUACAGCAAAUUUCUAACCGCAUGGGUUCCAUAUUUGUGAGUAUACAAAGAGAAAGCUCAUCCAUAUUACUCCUUGACCUCACCCUUCUACCCUCUUCCUCCUUCUCCGAGGCUCUCUUCAACUUCUCCCUCGACAUUGUAAAGCUCUGCGUAUUCGCACUAAUACUAUGAUUUGUCGUGAACUCUCCAUUAACAAACUAUGCUUCUACAAUUCUAAACAAAAUACUGAAAGCAACUACACAGAGUGCCCUUCUCCUAACUGUUUAACCAGUUAUGAAAUAAGAAUCCCUAAUCUUGAUUGCUAAUGUUCUAAUACACUAAACAACCGCCAUCAUUUGCCUCCGAUUAGACACUUAUGAUGGCAGGCAAGUCAUCAUGAACGGUACGUCUGUCCCCUCCAAUCUUGAUAAACCCGCCCCCGGGUUUAUGUAUAAUACAGGCGUAGUCGGUUUCCAUUGAUACGGGUUGUGAAUUUGCUUCCCGUGAAAUCUUCCAAUUGGACGUAACCAUUGGGAAAGGCUACCAAUACGCGAUAGGAUCCAUGCCACUGAAUUUGAAAUUUUCUUGGGAAAUUGUGAAAACGGAUGUCAUACAGCAGGACAAGAUCAUUGGACAUAAAUGAUUUUGUGCGGAGUUUACUAUCGUAAUAACUCUUCCGGUGGCACUGAAUAGCUUCCAUGGUCAUCAAAGCCGAAGCCCUAAUCUCAUCCAAUUUUUCCAAUUUUGUUAACCGAUAUUGGAGAGAUUCUUUGUUAUCCAACCGUUCUUCCAAUGUAAUUCUUAAACUGGGAACCUCCAAUUCUAUUGGUAAGAUGGCCUCGUGCCCGUAUACCAAUUGAAAAGGUGUGGAAUUGGUCGUUACUUUAUACGCAGUUUGAUAUGCCCACAAUGUUGUAAAUAAUUUAGUAUCCCAGUCGGUUCUUGCUCUUGAAAUAGUCUUUGUUAAGAUUUUACAAAGGAUACCGUUGGUCUUUUUGGUCUGCCCAUUGGCACGUGGAUGAUAAGGGGUAGUUUUUCGAUGCUUGAUCUCAUACUUCGUUGUCAAUGCUUCAAUGGUUGCAUUAAUAAAAUGGGUUCCUCGAUCACUAACCAAUUCUUUCGGACAACCAAAAUGAGUGAUAAUGUUCUCAUAUAAAAAUAUUGCUACAGUAGUGGCAUUAUCAGUUUUUGUUGCCAUAGCCUCCGCCCAUUUGGUGACUACUAAAAUAUAACGUUUCUGUCCAUUUCGAGAAGCAGGUGCAAUUGGUCCGACGAAAUCAAUACCUCAUUUUUUGAAUGGUGCCUGUGCCAAAACUGGUACCAAUGGCAUUGCAGAAGUUCCAGUAGGUCGACCAAUUCGUUGACAAGGGUCACAACGACGAACAUAUUUGUGAGCAUCCAAAAACAUUGUUGGCCACCAAUAACCAGCUAUUAAAGCUUUACGCGCGGUGCUAUCACCCGCAAAAUGUCCUCCACAGCUAUCCAAAUGGCAUCCUUCCAAUAUGGUACACACUUCACUUGGAAAUAUGCAACGUCGUAAAAUACCAUCCCGUCCUUGUUUGUAUAAUGCGGCUCCAAUCAUGGUAUACGGCGCACUUCUUAUAAUCAGACGCUUCUUUAAUUUUUCAUUAUAAGAAAUUGAAAAAGUCUGAAAUGUGAGAUAUUGAAUCAAGUCACUAUAUUCGGGUGUAAUAACCUCCACAGCGAAUAAUUGUGCAUCCAAAAGGGCGUCGUUUAUCGGCUCAUUACCCAGUAUAUUAGAUAAACGGGACAAGUGAUCUGCAUUGGCAUGUGUCUUGCUAGGGCGAACAUUAAUUGUAAAAUUGAAUUCCUGGAGAAGUAACACCCAACGAGCAAUUUAUCCGCUCAAUUGGGGUUUAUUUAUCAUAUACUUAAGCGCAUCAUGAUCAACGUGGAACACAAACGGGUAGCCCAGUAGAUAAUGGCGGAAUUUUUGUACAGAAUAAAUCAUGCUAAGGGCUUCUCGCUCGGUAGUAUUAUAAUUGUGUUCGGCCAUAACCAAUUAUCGACUCGCAAAAUAUAUUGGAUGAUCACGGUUAUUGUCAUCCUUCUGACUCAAUAUUGAUCCAAUCACGACGUUGGAUGCAUCGACAUAAACCUGAAAUGGUUUCGUCCAGCAUGGGGCAACCAGUAUUGGUGCAGACACCAAUUUUUGCUUUAAGGCCUCAAAGGCAACACUGCAUUCUGCCGUCCAAACGGGACUAGAUCCAUCCAAUAGUGGUUUCUUUAGCAAAUUUGUCAAUGGCUGACAUAGUACCGCAAAGGAGUGAAUAAAACGCCGAUAAUAGCUGACAUGGCCCACAAAGCCACGUACUUCUGACACCGUUUCUAGCUUUGGUAAAGCCAAUAUUCGAGUUACUUUAUCUGGGUCCGUAGCAAUACCGCGGCUAGACACUAUGUGGCCCAAGAGUCUUCCAGAGGGGACCCCAAAUUGACACUUCUCUGAAUUCAACGAUAUACCGUACUUAUCGCAUUGGUCCAUACAUCGUCCCAGUCAGUUCAAAUGAUCGGCUGUCGUACUGAACGUGCAAAAAUCAUCUAAGAAUAUUUCCAUUGACACUCCUAAAUAAUCUUGAAAGGCUUGUGUCAUCACUCUUUGAAAUGUGGCUGGUGCAUUGCAUAAUCCAAAUGGCAUCACUUUGUAUGCAAAUGUACCCCAAUCUGUCGUAAAAGUAGUCUUGGACUGAUCUUCCUUAGCAAUUUUGACUUGAUUGUAACCCGAAAAACCAUCCAGAAAUUAAUAACAUUCGUGUCCUGCUACGGCAUCCAAUAUACUAUCCGUAAAAGGUAGAGAAAAAUAGUCCUUCUUAAUAGCAGUAUUGAGUUUCCAAAAAUCUUGACAGAUUCUAAUCUUGCCAUUUUUCUUAGGUACCAUUACCAUUGGUGAGACCCAUUCGCUAUACAGAACCGGAUAAAUGAAUCCCAUGCAUAAUAAUUUGUCCAAUUCUUCCUUUACUAUCAAGGAAUAUUUUGGAUUGAGACGGUGUUGUCUUUGACGAACUGAUGUAGGAUCCGGAACCAAUGUAAUACGAUGUUCACACACCGUUUUUGGAAUACCCUUCAGAUCUGCAUACAUCCAAGCAAAGGAUGAUUUAUGCCGGAGGAAGAAUGCUUUCUACUAAUUCAAUUCGUUACCUUGAAUACCCUUGUAUAUCUUUAUAUUCUGGGGUGCGUCAAGGGUGCCUAAGUUCAGAGUCUCGAAAAUAGGUUCUUCCACAGCCGCCGAUUUAAAAUCGCCUGUUGGCCCAUCGUCAUGCGAAGGAGACUGCAAUUGCUGGUGACUCAUGUCUGACCGCAUUGCACUCACAUGAUUGACAUCAUAUCAGGUCAUCCAUUCGGUAAUAACAUGAUCCGAGUAAGAGGCAUCCUCCUGAUGCAAUAAAUAUUUGCCGGGGCCACCACAUUGGUAGACUUCGUCCUUGGUUGUUGAAGGAGUUUGACCUGCCCCAAAUUGCGGUGAAACUAUAGCAUCGUCAUCUUCCUCAAUCGAGUGACUCUCGUUAUCCGAUGUAAAUUCUGAUUUGGGCAAUGGGGUUUCUCCGUGAUAUUGUAUCGGGUACAUUUGUAGAACAAUCUGGUCACUGCCUUUUCCAAUUGUCAAUGUGUCGCGACCCCAAUCGUUCUUAGCCUUGGCUUGAUACAACCAAGGUCUGUCCAAUAAAAUGGGAUACAAUAACGUAGAACUCUAUAACCGAAAUACAACAUAAUCAAUUUUGUAUGUCAAUCCCGCGAUUACAGUGGCAAUAUCGCGUAAGAUUUCCAUCGGCUUAAUCCGACUAUGAUCUGCCAUUCGCAAAACUAAUGUCGUAGGGAGCAAUUGCUUUAGAUGCAAGUCUUCCAUUGUAUCAACGUUCAUUAAAUUCACACUGGAGCCACCAUUGACUUGUACCCCUGGAAUUAAAACUCCAUCGAUUGAUACAUCGAUUGUUGGUGCUUCUGGAUCUAAGUUUAAGCUAACUUCAUGUAUUUCUUUAGUACGGGAUCUUCGCCAUACUAACGCUGAAUUCAAUGUUGAUCGACAUUCCGGUGCUACAGCCAAAAGUUGCUUCAUUGUAAUUGAAGGCUAGAUAACAUCCAAAUCCUUCAAUAUAUCGUAGGGUUGCAUAUUGAGAGUAACUCCCAAUGCUCUUUUGCGUUUCAUUGGUUUCGUUUUGACUCUGUUCGGCAGCAAUUCCUUCUUCUUAGUUGACUCUUCUACCACUAAAGGUUCCUUCAAUAGGUAUGAGCCUAUAUUGGGUUGUGCGGGUAUUGGGACGGGGUCAUUUGGAAUUGAUCUUGAUGUCCCAGGAAAAUUGGUACGUGAAACUGAAUUGGGUUCCUCGUCAUGUUGAGGUCCCAAUAUUGGAAUACGGUCCAAUACUGGUAUUGGUUCGGUUUGCCUCAUGGACGGCGCUACUGUUAUUACUUCGAUUGGGUCAUCCAGGUCCUGAAUUGGAUUCUUACCUUUUUGUUGGCCCCUGGUAAGCACUGCGUUUACCACCUCGAUGCGAUGUACUGGUGAGUCCCGUUGAAUAAGACCUUUGUCCUCCGCCGACUGGCUUGUUUGCAUCUGCUGGUCACGGUUAUUAUAAUUAAAUGUCGCGUUGCACUGCUGAUAAGUAUGACCAGACUGCUUACAAUUUCCACAUAUUGGGGCAUAAUCAUCACUUGCUCUUGGAUUAGGACAUUCACUCACAUAAUGUCCGAUUUGUCUGCAUCGAUAGCAACGAAGUGGUCUUUUGCGAGCUCCUUCAGGGAUAUUGGGUGUCUCUACUGGUAUAUAACGGCUCGAUCUAUUCCAUGUCGGUUGAGUGAAGGAUCCUGGUUGACCCAUUGGUACUGUAGAUUCUGGCAUUGGCUUCUGCAUGGGUGAAUAUUGAUGAUAUCUUUGCUGAUUCAGCCCCAAGCCAUGGGUAUUGGAUACACCUUCUUGGUGAAAUUCAGAGUUUUGGAAAUUGGAAUAAUUCUUGUUUUGUUUAUUCGCUCGAUUUCCAUUCCAGCCGAACCUAUUAUUCGUUUGUACUUGAUUUACAUCCCACGAAGUUGGUUGACUCAUGGUUUAUUGUCCGACUUGUUGUUGUUUCCUUAAGUUCCAACAAUUGGCAAUGGUAUGCUUACCCCCACAAAAGGUACAUAGAACCAUCAUUUGGGGUGGUGAAGAACAUUCAGUUACCAAAUGACCUUGUCCCUUACAAUUGCUAUACCAAACAUUGGAUUGCAUAUUGGUCGGUUUAUGCCUUUUCUCUUUAUCCUUGACCAGAUUCACAGCCAAUUCAUCCAUUUUCUUCGUUAAUGUUAACAGCAAUGACUCGUUGGGAUUCCUUGAUACCAAUUCAUUGGUCAAUUCCUUCGUAGGUAUUGAUUUUUGAUACGUGGAAUAAGGUACAUACGGUUAUGACGAUGAUGGUAGUACAGCCUGCAAUGGAACGGCAUUCACUAUUCCCUGUGGAAUUGUACCAUAAUUACUCCUUCCCAAAUAACUUUCCGAUGUGUCAUUCCAAUUUGUCAUUUGAUAACCGCCUUGCGAUAGAAUCAUCGUGGCGCCAACGGUUAAGUGUUGGUCGUAAUGACAUUCCUCCCAUACUUUUGCUCGCUCAAGAAAUGCUGCGAUGGUAGCUGAUUGGGCCUCCUUUACAAACAUCUUCAAUUCUGGUGGGUGUAAUCUAUUAACCAAUAUGGACAACACAAACGAUUCUGGCAUUUGGUUAUUUGGCCAUUUCCAAAGUAUAUCUGCUACACGACCAUAAUAUGAUUGUACCGCUUCCCCUGGUACCAUUCUGCUGUUCAUUAAUCUUUCUCGAAGACGUUCUUCAAAACCAAUUGGUCAGAAAUGGGCUAAAAAUGCCGUUUUCAAUGCCUCUCAACUGAUAAAUUGACCUACAGGUUGGCGGUUAUACCACUCGAACGCUGUGUCUUUUAGUGUCGCUGGCAACCAUCUCAGCCAAAUGUCUUAUGUCCUUCCAUUAUUGGCUACACACGUCGUCAAGAAUUGAGACAAAUGUUGAUCUGGGUCCGCACAUGGCAAACCACAAAAAGUAGGUAAUGGUGCGAUGCUAGUCGUACGAUUGCCCAAGGUACCCAUUUGAACUGCAAUCGGAACAGCUGUUCCUCCUGCUGCCAUUGAAUUUUGUGUUCCUCUGAAAUUUAUUUUAAAAUAAUCUCUGCUUUCCCUUACUCUAAUUACCGAGCUCUCAGCGGUCCUUGCUUUACUGUUAUUCUCCGCAAAUAAUUUUGUUGGUUGACUUACAUGUGAAAAAGUCAGAUUUUGAAAUACGAUAUAGUUGCCUUUAUUGGCGACUAAUUCAUGCCAAUCUGCAGAGCCCCUAUUGCUCAUUUCAGCAGUACCCCUUACUGAAAAAUUACCCAAUGGAGUACCAAAUACUUCUAUGCCUCCUUCUCUUUCAGUUAAUGGCCUCAAGAUUUCCACUGGAAUGUUAACAAAAUUUCCCGCGAGUGUUCUUGGUAGUUUUUCUAACGGUACAUAUGACUGCAGAAUUAACAGUCUGUCCGAUUCUUGAUAUGUUCGGAUGCGCCGACAAGCUUGCAACCAUGGUUUAAUCCAAUUCUGUCGAUGCUUCCUUUUAAGAUUACAUUCUUGCUCCUCUCUACGCAAGUUCCUUCCUUGCGCUCUUCCUUGUCUUUCUCUCAACUGAUUUAAUUUCCUCGAUGCAAUGCUCUCGUUCUUAUUAACCAUAAUCUUUCUUCAAACACUACUGAAAUCGUCUUCCAUUGCCCAUUUUCUCACACGUUUAUAAUUAAUUCCUAACACUCAAAGCUAUUAUCACUCCCCAGUAGCGGCGCCAAAAUGUGGUUGAUCGUUUUACUUAUUCCGAAAGGAACCUCCCACAAUAAACCUGUAUAGGAGAAUUUGAACACGGAGAGUGACUAGUUGCUUAAGCGUUCACUUUAGGGUCACACAAUUAAUUACCUCCAAUGUAUCGUCUCUAUUUCCAUUGUCUAAGCACACAAGGAAACUAUAAUCUCUCCUUUCACCUAAUCAAUCUCUUCCUUACAACAAUUCAGUCAUACCAAUAACUGUUAUUUCCACUAAUAUAUCUUCACUCUUAUAAUCUCCAACUGUAAUACCGCAACAUCACAGCUUCAGCACACAAUUACUCUCAUUCCAAUUACUAGAAUUCUUCACACAGAACUACCAUUCAUAUUACAGUGUUUCACACAACCACAGAUUCACUCUUUCUGCUGAACUACAUUCAAAUUUCAGCAUUCAAUCUCUCUUCUUCUCAUUCAAUAACAUAUAAUUUCAAUCACACUUUCAUUCCAUGAUUCACUUCACAAUAUUCAAAAACUCUCAAUACUCUUAUUUCAAAGAACAUAACAAUAAAAGAAAAGAGGUAGCACCAAGCUUACCCCAGCUCACACUAUCACAGUAAUGGCCGUUUCUUCCUCUCUUUCAUCCUCCUUAUCCUACCACGAGAUACCAACUGCUACAUCUCUAAUGAAAACUGCUUUUCCUAACUAUUCAUCCAUUUUAACUACUGAACUACCUUUCCAACAGUCAUCUAUCCCUGUUUACACUAUAAACUAAGUAUCUACAAAUCAGCAAAUAACUACUUAUUCUACACACAUCCAAAUCAAAGAAAGUCAGUGAGUGAUUUUUUUCAUAGUAAUAGUUGGAGCCAUAUCUUAAGUUUUUGGACGAAUUUUUACCUCAAACUUUUUUAAGAAGGUAGAUUAAUGUGAUGAAAAGCUAUAUAUAUAAGUUUUGUGGUAUUUAAGUACUUAAUUUGUGAGAUAUGAAAAAAAUUGCACAUGGAUGUAUAAAAACUAAGAUUUGAAGCUACUGUUAGGAAUUUGGCAAUAUCUUGAGAUCUGCAAUGAAUUUGUAAUUGAAAUUUGUGAUAGUAGUUUUUAAAAGUAUAUCAAUAUUUUAUGUAAAACUUGAGUAUGUUUGAACAGUCCAAUUAAGAGAUAUGAGUUUUUGAAGUUCAUAAUUAAUACUCCAUAAAGAUAUAUAAGGAUUUAGAGUUUUUAAUCAUAUUUUGGGUGUUUUUGGAAACUUAAGACUUAUAUAUUUGAUGUAAUUGCUUCUAAAAGUAUUAUAUAUAUAUAUAUAUAUAUAUAUAUAUAUAUAUAAACUUGGACUUUCUUAUAUUAAGACUUGAUUGAAUAAUUAGUGAAAACUAGUAGCCCAAUGCUUUCUUGAGGCAAAUUCUCUCUACUUUGAUAAUGUCAUCACCUUCUUAUCACAUAAAAUUGGCAGAAGCAGUACGUGGAUAACCACUAAUAACUCAAGACCUUCCAAGAGGGUGAUCAGGUAUUACUCUCCAACACCAACUUGCCACUUGUUAUAUCAAUCCAAAUCUAUAAACUCGCACCUUAAUGGCUUAGAACUUUCUAUAUUUUUGCAGUGAUUUUUGAUGUCACGUUUUUUCUUGAGCUUGUGCCAUAUAUUUGGAUCCAUCCAAUCUUCCAUAUUUUACAAGUAAAGAAAUUUUAUAUUAAGCAAAAGUUUUUUUUAAAUUGAUAGUAACCGCCACCUUUACUAGUUAUAAUUAAUGAUCAAUAAGAAUAUGAAGUGGAUAGCAUUUUGGAAAAUCUCUACCUUCUUCAAAGCAAUGGAUGUCUUCAACUUCAAUACAAAGUUCUUUAGAAAGAUUAUUCCAUCCACAAUGCAACGUGGGAACCUAUAUAGAAUCUCAUCCAUUAUCAACAUACAAUUUGGAUAUAUCAUUGAGAGCAAAAUGAUGACAUUUCACAUUAAUAGAUGGGAAUUAAUUAUAACAAGAUAUAAAUAAGAUAUUUGUAUUAUUAACACAUAUGGAUAGAUAGUUAGAACCAUAUUUAAAAAGUUAUGAAAGUUUUUAGAAUUUGAGCUAGGUUAGUGGACUAUGUAGGAUCUAUUGUAGAAUAUUUUAGAAAGAACUUAGGACGGUUAUCUAGGUAGGAUCCAUCAUGGAACCCUUUAGAAAAAGCUUAGGAUGGUUAUUUAGGUGGAAUCCACUAUAGAACCUUCUAGAAAGAAUUUAAAAUAGUUAUCUAAAUAGGAUCCAUUAUCUAAGAAUAUUUUAAAAAGUCUAAGGUAGUAAAACAAAAUAUAAAUGAGACUAGCAAGGGUCUUUUGGAACAUCUGGUCAAGUAUGGCUUCAAACCUUUCCUCUUAGUAAAAUUUGGUUUGUAACUUCUUCUUCAGUUCACUUUAGUUCUAUUUUUUAUUGUUCAAUUUUGUCUUUUAUGUCUUAUUUUAUUUAGUUCUAUUCAGUUCUAUUUUGGUCCAUUUUAUCCUACUUUAUAAUGAAAUUUUAUAUUACUGUAGAUUAAAAGAGUCUUAGAUUCUUAAGACACAUCAGUCUUAUUUCAAUAGGCCUCACAAUGAUAACCGUCUUAAGCUUUUUUAGACAAUUCUACAGUCAAUUUUAUAUGAACCACCAUCCUAACUUUAAUUCUACAAACUUUUCAUAAACAACUUCAACUACAUAUCUCUAUGUGCAAAUAAUAUAAAUAUCCGAUCUAUGCCAUAUUUUAGAAUUUGUCUUAGUUGAAGGAAGUCUAUCAAUUAUAUUUCAUCUAUUGUCAAGGAUUGAAGAUUCUUUUUCUUUAUAUUAGCCACAUAUUUUGGUGAUCUAGCUGCUAUAACAUUGAUUUGAUUGGGUACAGUUUCGCAAUAACAUUAUUUAAGCAUUCAUCUUCAACUAUAUAUAUAUUGUUGUCUUAGUUGAAUAGAUGGGCUUUUAAUCAACUAGAGGAGGUACUUAUGAGUAUAUUGAUUGUACAUUUGUAUUUGGUUUAAAUUGAUUUAAGGUACUUAAUGUGUUGUAUAUACUAAUCUUUAUUUAUAUAAUAAUUAUCACGUGAUGUAACAUCUAAUGCCAAAUCUUAUCAGAUAUAUGUAAUUUAAUUUAGCUUAGUAGUUUCUCAUCUAUUUAAUUUUUUUCAUUUGAUGACUUUAUUAGUAUCAACUAAGUUUUGAAGACUUAGAUAGAAAAACCUUCUUGACUUAACAUUCUUGUCAAGUCAAAUCUUAUGAGUAGUUUUGAGGGAAAAAAAGCCUUUAUUGUAAGAUUUUGCUUGAUUAUGGUGAUUAGCAUUUUAGUAAAGCUUUUAGGAAUUUUUCUACAUACACUUGUAUUCUUAGAUUCCUUCUUUGUGGUGUGAGAGAUAGCUUAAUUUAGUGGUGUUUAAAUUUUUCAUAUUUCUUUGAAAGUAUGUUGAUUGUAUAUUUGUAAUUGGUUUAGAUUGCACACUUCAUGAUUGAUUUUUUUUUUAAUUAAAAUUAAAAAUUGUUCCUUUUGAAAUUUCCAAGAAAAAUUCUAGUAAAUUAUGUGGAAAAGAAUUAGAAUAAAAUUAUCAUGAUCCAAAAUAAACAAGGUUUUAUUUAAAUCCACCCAAAAUACAUUUGUAAGAUAUUUAUGUUAAUUGAAAUGGAUUCAUCAUUUGUUACUUGGUUUAUACAACAUCAGCAAUAGAUUAUUCUGCUACAGUAGUGAAUUUCAUGUUUCAUAAAAUCUAAAUAAAUUCAAUUUUGUAGAAUGGCGUUUUAAACUUUGAAGAGCAUAUGCAUCCUCUAAGUGAACUGAUGAUGACGUGGACAUGAUUGCUGGGUCCGUGAGGUGGUGUUGGACCCAAUGAGGCACCGACCGAUUCCAGUGUUUCUUUCAUGCAUCAGAGUCGAUCCUUUUCUCUUAACAUGUUUCUUCCUGUUGGAUCUGGGGUGAUCGGAUUACAGCAACGCAGCAUAAUUGUUUCUAUGACGAAGAUUUGUUACCAGGAAUCUCGAUAACUCGCGACCACCAUCCAUCACAUUACUUUGUUGAACUCCCACAUUCUAGAAACAAGUUUUCCUUGUUUUGGAUUAGGAAAUGUGCUUGGAUUCUAUGAAUCAAGGUCACUUGGUACUCAAUUUUCGAAUCUGUCAUUGACAUGUCAAUAUGGAUUUGUAUGUGAGUUCCAGCACCCGGUUCCAACAGCACCUGCUCCUUUCAGUGUCUAACGGGAUCAUUAGGGACUCUACAUUUAGUUUCUUUGUCAGUGGAGAAGGGAGUUACGAAUUUUUGUUCAGUUUUCUGUACUGAUUCGAAACCAGGAGUGGUACGCAUGGUGAUGUUGAGCACAGAAGCUCCAGGGUUUAUCAGACUAAUGGACUACAAAUCCAUCCAAUGUUAAGUCCUUCUGUAGCAAGAUAAUGAAAUAAACCUGGACAGCAGGCUUCAUUUCGCGGCUCAUAGGACCAGUCUUUAAAUCCACUUAGAAGCAUAAUCUCUCGCGAAAAAUCUCACCCCCACGUGGGAGGCUUAAAUAAUUGCCAGAUCUUACAGAGUAACACAUGCAUAACUUCGGAUAUGACAUGUGCUUAGUUCUGAACUGAAUGCUAGUCCGGUUUUCUUCCUGUGAUACAUUAAGAAUCGCAACUUGCGCAUUGGCUGUCCCAAAGAAAGCUCGCAUCUUUACUUCGCUAAUCCAAGAUAGGUUUUCACAGCUGAAAACCUAAGUCAGACGGGGGCAUUACAGGCAAACAUGAAGUACCUUUGUAAAGAGGGAAGAUUCACAACAAAAAGAUUGACCCGCUACCGGGGAGUGCUUCAAUAUGGUGAAAAUGUUUGGUUAUUACUGCGGUACUGUAAUCCUUCAUACACGCCCCUGAAACCUCCCACUACGAGAUUUUGGCCGAUUUCAGCUUUAACAAUAACAAUAAUCAGUGUUGACAACAACGAUUGACAGGUGCAGAGGAGUAUAUUUUGAACUUGGUAACUCUUUCAGACAUGGGGACCGAACAGAUGCAACCACAAUAGGAAAAAGAUAAAACUCUCACAUCACUCUAACCAUAAAAAAGCUUAUUCAUGAGGACUCUCUUCACUCUAGCCAUUCAAGCACCUUAGUCAACGAGAAGGAAAGGAUCAGGCAAAGCAAAUCAUGAUUUGAUGGGUAGCUUCCAAAACACGUAGCAUCUACGUCUAUAAACCAACGAAUACACAGGGCAU
rnacentral:lncRNA from 1 species